GAUGAACGCUGGCGGCGUGCCUAAUACAUGCAAGUCGAGCGAACAGAUAAGGAGCUUGCUCCUUUGACGUUAGCGGCGGACGGGUGAGUAACACGUGGGUAACCUACCUAUAAGACUGGGAUAACUUCGGGAAACCGGAGCUAAUACCGGAUAACAUUUGGAACCGCAUGGUUCUAAAGUGAAAGAUGGUUUUGCUAUCACUUAUAGAUGGACCCGCGCCGUAUUAGCUAGUUGGUAAGGUAACGGCUUACCAAGGCGACGAUACGUAGCCGACCUGAGAGGGUGAUCGGCCACACUGGAACUGAGACACGGUCCAGACUCCUACGGGAGGCAGCAGUAGGGAAUCUUCCGCAAUGGGCGAAAGCCUGACGGAGCAACGCCGCGUGAGUGAUGAAGGGCUUCGGAUCGUAAAACUCUGUUAUUAGGGAAGAACAAAUGUGUAAGUAACUGUGCACGUCUUGACGGUACCUAAUCAGAAAGCCACGGCUAACUACGUG
rnacentral:rRNA from 1 species